GCCGGGAUAGCUCAGUGGUAGAGCAUAGUAUUGAAAAUUCUUGUGUCAUCGGUUCAAAUCCGAUUCCUGGCA
rnacentral:tRNA from 2 species